rnacentral:rRNA from 1 species
UACGAAGGGGGCUAGCGUUGUUCGGAAUUACUGGGCGUAAAGCGCACGUAGGCGGACAUUUAAGUCAGGGGUGAAAUCCCAGAGCUCAACUCUGGAACUGCCUUUGAUACUGGGUGUCUUGAGUAUGGAAGAGGAGAGUGGAAUUCCUGGUGUAGCGGUGAAAUGCGCAGAUAUCAGGAAGAACACCCGUGGCGAAGGCGGCUCUCUGGGACGGUACUGACGCUGAGACGCGAAAGCGUGGGGAGCGAACAGG